UACGUAGGGGGCAAGCGUUGUCCGGAAUCAUUGGGCGUAAAGAGCGUGUAGGCGGCCUUAUAAGUCGGCUGUGAAAGUCAAGGGCUCAACCCUUGAAUGCCGGCCGAUACUGUGAGGCUAGAGUCCGGAAGAGGCGAGUGGAAUUCCUGGUGUAGCGGUGAAAUGCGCAGAUACCAGGAGGAACACCGAUGGCGAAGGCAGCUCGCUGGGACGGUACUGACGCUGAGACGCGAAAGCGUGGGGAGCGAACAGG
rnacentral:rRNA from 1 species